GGGCUAGUUAGGCAGGGACUGCACCAACCCAAGCGAGUGAAAAAGUCACUUUUCGGCUGUGUUUUCGAUUGAUAUUUCGUGCACGAUUUGACAAACGAAAUAGUGUACGAGAUUCAGACUUUUUUCGGCACAUACCCAAACGAGUGAAAAUGUCACUUUUCGGCUGUUUUUUCGAUUGAUAUUUCGUGCACGAUUUGACAAACGAAACAGUGUACGAGAUUCAGACUUUUUUCGGCACAUAACCACAACAGCGUGCAAUGGCAUAUUUGCUAUCUUCAUUGCACGUCUAGCGUUACACAUUUUGAGGUUAAAUAGUUUUUAAAUUGUUGGUAUUUAUAUGAAUGAUACGAUACGAAAGAACACAACUGAUGCAAACUAAACGUAAUACACAAAAAGAAAUACACAUAACCUGCUUCAACGCUUGGCUUGGAGAGCGAAAUGUUACGAAUGGAAGAACCACACAUACAAUCAUAUAUUGCUUGUCAAAUUAUGAGAGUGUAUGAGUUAUCGUCCAAAAAUUUCCGCUUGGGAACCCGAGCCGCAAUGAUGGGUGAUUUUUGACAGCUCUACGGUGACAUCCCCCGAAAUGCUAUUUCGCGGGGGAACUCAGUGGUACUCAAGUUGAAGCCAUCUUGGGCACUCAAUUUCCAUCAUGGCUGCCGCUAGUUAAAAAAAAACGACAGUUGGUAUAAAAAAAUGCUCUAGUGCAAAAAACAUAGUCCUACCCCCCAUAUUUUUGCACUUUUGCUUUUGUAUGUUGCAUAUGUGCUUUAUCUCUUUCACACAAGUAGGCACACAUAGGCCCCACCGUGACGUCAUAUUCACCCCAUCAAGCAUGACCUGUCUAUAUGUGCCGACUGUUAAUUCUGCAUUGUUCUAUUCUACCGCAUUUGAAUUCUGUGAAUAGAGGAAAUUUUGUUAAGGUAUUUUUUUAUCAAUACAUCAAUACAGCAUACUUACGAAAACUCCACUCCGUACCGGCUUUGUGACUGUCCAGAAGCUUAUACGCUCAGGAAAAUGGAAAACAUUUAUCAUGAUCAUCGAUAUGCAACAUUCGCAUCACAGCCGAUUCUCGAAAUGAUGGAAAUUAGCACCUCCAAUCCAUCGGAUUUAUCUGCUCCACCGUCUGUUCCAUCGGUCGUCCCCGCUGUUAUUCUUGAUUCGACAUACUUGGCAGUCUCAUCGUCACCACCACCCAUCUGUGAUGUUUCCGGAUCUAUGCCCACUUCGUCAGCCAUGCCGGGACAGCCGACCUCUUCCGGACCGUCAU